GAGUUUGAUCUUGGCUCAGAACGAACGCUGGCGGCAUGCCUAAUACAUGCAAGUCGAACGAGAUCUUCGGAUCUAGUGGCGCACGGGUGCGUAACGCGUGGGAAUCUACCCUUGGGUUCGGAAUAACAGUUGGAAACGACUGCUAAUACCGGAUGAUGACGUAAGUCCAAAGAUUUAUCGCCCAAGGAUGAGCCCGCGUAGGAUUAGCUAGUUGGUGGGGUAAAGGCCUACCAAGGCGACGAUCCUUAGCUGGUCUGAGAGGAUGAUCAGCCACACUGGGACUGAGACACGGCCCAGACUCCUACGGGAGGCAGCAGUAGGGAAUAUUGGACAAUGGGCGAAAGCCUGAUCCAGCAAUGCCGCGUGAGCGAUGAAGGCCUUAGGGUUGUAAGCUCUUUUACCCGGGAUGAUAAUGACAGUACCGGGAGAAUAAG
rnacentral:rRNA from 1 species